GGCCUUUUGUGGUUCCAUAUGAAUUUUAGAACUAUUUGUUGUGGUUUGUUGAAAAAUGCUGUUGGUAUUUUGAUAGGGAUUGCACUGAAUCUGUAGAUUGCUUUAGGCAGGAUGGCCAUUUUGACAAUAUUAAUUUUUCCUUCCUAUUACUAUGGGAUGUAUUUCCAUUUAUUGGUGUCUUCUUUAAUUUCUCUCAUGAGCAUCUUGUGGUGAUUUCAGUUAUUAGUUCUAGUAGUUCUGGGGUGGAUUCUUUAGGGUUUUUUAUGUACAAUAUCAUGUCAUCUGCAAACAGUGACUCUUUAACUUCUUCCUUACCAAUCUGAAUGCCUUUUAUUUCUUUAUGUUGUCAGAUUGCUGAGGCUAGGACCUCCAUCCAGUACUAUGUUGAAUAAAAGUGGGGAGAGUGGGCAUCCUGUCUUUUUCCCAGUCUUAGAGGAAUAGGUUUCAGAUUUUUGCUAUUAAGCAUAAUGUUGGCUGUAGAUUUGUCAUAUACGGUCUUUAUUAUGUUGAGGUACUUGUCCUCUGUACCCAUUUAGUUGAGAGUUUUUAUCAUGAAUGGAUGUUGAAUUUUGUCAAGUGCUUUUUCUGCUUCUGUUGAGAUGAUCAUGUGAUUUUUGUCCUUUUUGUUGUGGUGGUGGAUGAUGAUGGAUUUUCAAAUAUUGUACCUUCCUUGCAUCCCAUAUCAUGAAAUCUUGAUGAACACCCUUAUUAGUUCAUGUCAUUUAUUCUGUUGAUUCCUUAGGAUUUUCAAGUAAAAGUUCUGCCAUUGCAAAUACACAGAUUUAUUCUUUCCUUUUAGAUGUGUAUGCCUUUUAUUUUAUUUUUUCUGGUGUCUUUGACUGGAAUAGAGUGGUUUUUGUCUCAAAGUUUUUCUCUUGUAUAUUAAAUUAGAAGAUUUGUUUUGAAAAUUAAAACAAGCACAACUGAAAAAAAUUUGCAAUUGCUUAGCAAAUGGUAUCUUAAGAACAGUCUACCAUGGAUUAGUACCCAAUGAGUAAAAAGGUGAAGUUGGCAUGGUCAACUCUCUCUUCUUGAAAGACUAAGACACUCUCUCAGAAAAUAAAUCCAACUUAAGAUGCCAGAAAUCUACAAACGCAGCUCCAUCACAAACCUUAGGUGGUUGGAGUUGAUGAGACACAGUUACAACACGGAGGUUAUUUCCAGGAAGAUUUGUCUUCCCAUCAGGCUCUCAUAUCUCCUGCCUGAGAAUUUCAGAGAGGCUGGAAGGAACUCAAUGCAUAAAACACAUAGUAUAAGCCUCCAUGCUUAGGCUCUACUCUCACAAAGGGGGAACUCAAAGGAGGAAAGAUGCCUUCUUGCCAUUGUUGUCACAGAAUGCCAAAUCACUUUGAAGGAAAAAAGAUUUUGCCUUUUGACAUGACCUUCCUUCUCCUUCCUGCCUGGGCUUAGAAGGAAAAUCUGGAGUUGUUGCAGACGUUUUGUGGUCAUCAUGGCAGAAACAUGGUGACAAUAGAGAACAACUAUAGAAAGUCUGGUUGGUGGCAUUCCAAAGGAGUGCUCUGUAUUCUAGGAAAGUUUGUGUUUACUUCCCUAAUCCCUGAUACAGUAGCCAUUAGUGUCAGUUGAGUCUAUUAUCACUUCCAUAUAGAUUUUUAACUGGAUUUUUGCAUGCUUCAUUGUCUUACAUUGUUUGUGAUGUCACCACCCCCCACUUUCUGUUGUCUUGUUCCAACUUAAAGUUUUUGGCUUCAAUUUUUUAGAUCCUGCUUUCUUUCAUAUAUUGAUUGUGAUUUCUAAAAUUGUCUUUCAGCUGCUACAGCUAAUAGUUCUGCAUAUUUUAAUGUGCCCCAUUUCUGCAUGUGCCUCACCUCCUUCUGCUUUUCUUAUCAAGGAACCAUUUCAGACACAACUUUUGUCAGCUGGCAGUUGGCCACUCCUCCUGUUCCCCUCCCAAGGAUACCUUGGGCCACACAUACAUCCCAGCCCAGUUCCUGGCAUCUAGGCGGUGUUCAUUUUGCAGAUUCUCUUCUGGACACAAACAGGACAUUUGCUACUCCCUGGGCUGCUCCCUGAUGUUCUGAGGAGAGACUGCAUGAAACCCAGCAGGCAGCUGCUCUUACACUCAUCAGCCUCUUCCUCUCUUAGCCUGGUUCCUAGGGAGCUUAGUGGUGGCCCAGCAGUUCUGAGAACACAAUUUACAAGUUGAAUUUUUCCACCUCCACUCUGCCCAUUUUGUGCUUGGAGUAGUUUCCAUAUGACUAGUUAGAGCACUUGGUUAGAUGGUUAGUGAGGGAGAGCAGGUGAGUGGUGGUGUGGGGAACAGCAGAUGGUUUGAGAGGUGUGUGGAGUUCACGUUUCUGCACCAUGCUGCAGACUUUUCUGGAAGGGCUGGUAAUGUGUUAUAUUUUAAUUUCCAUGACAACCAUGGCCUGCUGUUAUAUUUCUCAAUCCAUCACCAGCUGCCUUAGCCUGGGUAUCCUACUUGGCUGCAAAUGAAAACCACUUCCAGCAGAACGCAACACUGCAUAAAAGCUCCCUGCGAGACUCCGAUUUAUUACCAAGACAUACUGGUCAUUAAGAGAUCAUUUUCCCUUUGGAACAAGCAGAGUAAAUUCUGGAAGUGUAUCCAACAUGGAUGAACUCAGCAUUCAAAGCAAGGGAUCCCAGCAUCGUCUCUCAUAUGUGGCUGCUGAGACAUGAGAAACGUGACAAGUUGUGAAGCACAUGCGCCUUCACACCCACAUUCAAUCUCUUUCAAUGAGCCCACACCUCUUUCUUGACUUUCUUAUUUAUCUUCCUUUGUUGACUGUGGUCUAUGGAUUCCCCAUUUCUUUCAUGUUUCAGAGUGAUGCUCAGGCUUUUGAUGAAACGUUUUUCUGAUGAAACAUUCCUUCUAACACCCUUACUUUGGUUUUUGUCCAUGCCUUUUCUUUCCCUGUGGUCUAUAACUUCCAUUAAGAUGUUUCUAGCAUCAAAAGUAAUUCCUACUGGCAGCAGGCUUGAAAGGGUUUUGAGUAUGAUGAAGUGUGAAUAAAAACUAUACGUUCAUUUUCUUCCA